UGGGGAACCUGCCCCAUAGUCUGGGAUACCACUUGGAAACAGGUGCUAAUACCGGAUAAGAAAGCGGAUCGCAUGAUCAGCUUUUAAAAGGCGGCGUAAGCUGUCGCUAUGGGAUGGCCCCGCGGUGCAUUAGCUAGUUGGUAGGGUAAAGGCUUACCAAGGCGAUGAUGCAUAGCCGAGUUGAGAGACUGAUCGGCCACAUUGGGACUGAGACACGGCCAAACUCCUACGGGAGGCAGCAGAG
rnacentral:rRNA from 1 species